rnacentral:rRNA from 1 species
GGGCAGCGCGGGGCGGCAACGUCCUGGCGGCGACCGGCGGAAGGGUGCGUAACGCGUGAGCGACAUGCCCGUUGCCCGGGGACAACCGGUGGAAACGCCGACUAAUCCCCGAUGGGACGGAGGCCCUCAUGGGUCUCUGUUGAAAGUUACGGCGGCGACGGAUUGGCUCGCGUCCGAUUAGCUUGUUGGCGGGGUAACGGCCCACCAAGGCUACGAUCGGUAGGGGUUCUGAGAGGAAGGUCCCCCACAAUGGAACUGAGACACGGUCCAUACUCCUACGGGAGGCAGCAGUGAGGAAUAUUGGUCAAUGGGCGGAAGCCUGAACCAGCCAUGCCGCGUGCGGGAAGGAGGCCCUAUGGGCUGUGAACCGCUUUUGCCUGGGGGCAAUAAGGGCGUCGUGCACGUCCGAUGAGAGUACCAGGCGAAUAAGCAUCGGCUAACUCCGUGCCAGCAGCCGCGGUAAUACGGGGGAUGCGAGCGUUAUCCGGAUUCAUUGGGUUUAAAGGGUGCGUAGGCUGUGCGUCAAGUCAGGGGUGAAAUUCCGGGGCUCAACUCCGGGGCUGCCCUUGAUACUGUCGCGCUGGAGUGCGGAUGCCGCCGGAGGAAUGAGUGGUGUAGCGGUGAAAUGCUUAGAUAUCACUCAGAACACCAAUUGCGAAGGCAUCUGGCGAAUCCGUAACCGACGCUGAGGCACGAAAGCGUGGGGAUAGAACAGGAUUAGAUACCCUGGUAUUCCACGCCGUAAACGAUGAUGGCUAACCGCCGGCGACACACUGUCGGUGGCCAAGCGAAAGCGAUAAGCCAUCCACCUGGGGAGUACGUCGGCAACGAUGCAACUCAAAGGAAUUGACGG